rnacentral:lncRNA from 1 species
GACAGUCGUUAACAGAAGCAUACAUUUCAAGAAAUUAGCAACAAGAUACAACUUAUCUCCCAAUACACGGAGCACAAUACAACACACACGGAAAGCUAAGGUUUAGAAUAUAUAAAGACUGCUCAUGCAGUAUCUUUGAAUUUAAAAGAAAUAUUCACCACAUAACAAAACAAUAACUUUUAAUAUAUAAUACAUUCCUUUAGCUCAAAAAUAUUAAAUUAGGUGACUCCAGUAGCAGAGAUGCAAAGCACCAAAGCCAGGUUUCCUUAUAAACUCAGAUAUAUUAUUCAUAACUUUUAAUUCAGGGAACGUAUUAUAAAGAAAAAGGAGCUUCUCUGUGGCGAUUAGGAAAAGAACAACCCUCAACCGAAUACUAUCUUCUAAAACAUGACUCCUGCAGAGUAAAGCUAUAGUCCCUCAGCAACUUUCUGCUCAAUUUUAUCCGCUUCACUUCUUGGUCUUUUCUUCACUUACAAUUAUUAUAUAUAAUUACAAUUACAAUUAUGUUUAUAUGCUACAAAAGUAACAAAUAUUAAUUUGCCACAUUUUCAUAUAUGCAGAAUAAGAAAUCUGAUCUGAGCUUAAAAGAAGCAAUUUUACUGGCCCAAGUGUUAGUAGGCAUACUUCAAGGCAAUUAUUUAAAUAAUUUGUUUAUGAUGGUAUGCACCAUCAAUUUUCUUCAAUUAUUGAUACAUCAAUUACCUAAAGAAUUUCUUCAUGAUACUCACUGUCAGUUUUCUUUUUAUAUUAAUUAGGAUGGAAGUGAAUGAAAUUGCAUAAAAACUUAAUACUAUGUAGGUUAACUAACAUUCCUCGACCCUGGGUGAAUACGUAAAGAAAUCUAUAGGGCUUCUUUUUAAUAUUAUUUAAUCUAAGUUUCAUUGUGUUGCAUGCUAGAUAACAAACAGCGAACUACUUGUAUAUGUAUAAUAUGUUUAACCACCAAGUUCGGGAUGGAUUGGUGUGGUUCCUCUACGCCUAGGACACCAGAAUAUCGAACCAUGAACGAAUAAAGGCAUGAGAGAAAAGCAUAUUGGCUAGUGAUUGUGAGGCCCCAAUUCUUGAUUGGAGGGGACACCAAAGGCCUCUGCCCUUCCAUCCCUUGGUUGGAUAGGUAGAUAUAAUGGUACUUGUUACGAUGACUCCUAAAGUUCGCGUUAUGAGUUAUGAGUUGCAAGUCUUUGCACUUGGUCAGGGUUUGCAUGAACACAGACACUACAAUCAUUCCCAAGACAUCAAACUUCAAUAAUAUAAUUCCGGUCACCAACUAACAUAGUACCUUCUUGGCUAGCAUUUGGCGGGUUGCUUCUGCAGCAGUUCGAGGAGGAGCUGCAUUUUUAGCCAUUAUGUUUGUUACUCUUGUAUUUAGUUGUGUUUGUAGUCAAUAGUAUUUAUUUUGUUAUUAUUUCAUGUAGUAAUUUGAAUUCGUUAUAAUUUUAAAAAAAUUUAGUACUACAUUUCAAACGAAAUAAAAAAUUUAGUUGAGUAUAAUAACCCAAAUAAUUUUAGUUCUCAUUCAAUAUUAAUUUUCCCCCUGUCUAUAAUCGAUAUAUAAUUCAAUUCGGCUACCAAAUUCCCGAAUGCUUAGCCCUCCCGGUCACCACUCAUGUAGUCAAUCAGCUAUUUGCAAUGUCAAUUUGAAUCAGUUAAAUACAGUGUUCAAAAUUCAAAUCCACGCUAGUACACUAAGAAACCAUGAAACACAACAUAAGAUACAUGCUUAGUAAUAGUGAAACAUGAUCGAAGCAAAUAAUGUAUUUGGUUAAAUAUCAAAAAAAUAAAUAAAAUUAUCAUAAUGAUUUGUUACAAUGCUUUCACGUGCAGAUUACAGAAAUUAAGGCCACCUGAAACAAUACAAAUAGUUGUGGUCAUCUCAGAUCUGAAAUUUGACUAAUAUAGAGAGCAUUUCUAACGGUGUAUUUAUUAUCUUUUGCAUAAAAUAAUGAAUUUCAGAUGAUUCACUAAAGCUGCAAUAUAGAAACGAUGUACAACAGUUAAAAUCUCGCUGCCAUCUAUUUGUUGUCGUCCAAGUCCAACUUUAUUAUAGAUGAAAAAAUAGGUAUUUCAAUCAUUCUAAUAUUCCUCAUCAUAUCCAUAAUCAUCAAUGUAGUCUUCUUCAUUACCAUAUUGCAAGCCCUCAGAAAAUUCCUCUGGUCCACCUUCAUUCUCGUUUUCUGGAAGCAGUUCAGAGUCAUUUUCCUUCAUAUUCUGCUUCACGUAUUCUGUUCCACUGGCGUACACCUCAUCAUUUAGACGGCUUUUCUUGUUAUCUGGAGAAACCUGUUGGGAAAAGUGAAAGUAACAAUAAACAAAGGAUUCGGAGGUGAUGAAACUCAAAUAAUGUCAUGAUAUCUGUCAGCCAUAGAAGGCCCGACAGAAACAGGAGAAUUGCGAAUUGCCCAGAUAUUUACAACUUAAAAAGACAUAUGGUUAGAUACAGAUAUGAAGGCCGUGUUUGGAAGUCAGAGGUUUGAGAAAAAAUUAGAUGUCUGGGCCAUAUUAAAGGGCCGAAACAGAAAGAGAUGAUCAACAUACCGAGUCAUUAAAAAGUUCGUCCAACACAUCAUAGUUGAUCUUCGAGUCAAGCUUCUGCAAAAUGAAUUCACAACUUACAUUAAUGACAGUCGUUAACAGAAGCAUACAUUUCAAGAAAUUAGCAACAAGAUACAACUUAUCUCCCAAUACACGGAGCACAAUACAACACACACGGAAAGCUAAGGUUUAGAAUAUAUAAAGACUGCUCAUGCAGUAUCUUUGAAUUUAAAAGAAAUAUUCACCACAUAACAAAACAAUAACUUUUAAUAUAUAAUACAUUCCUUUAGCUCAAAAAUAUUAAAUUAGGUGACUCCAGUAGCAGAGAUGCAAAGCACCAAAGCCAGGUUUCCUUAUAAACUCAGAUAUAUUAUUCAUAACUUUUAAUUCAGGGAACGUAUUAUAAAGAAAAAGGAGCUUCUCUGUGGCGAUUAGGAAAAGAACAACCCUCAACCGAAUACUAUCUUCUAAAACAUGACUCCUGCAGAGUAAAGCUAUAGUCCCUCAGCAACUUUCUGCUCAAUUUUAUCCGCUUCACUUCUUGGUCUUUUCUUCACUUACAAUUAUUAUAUAUAAUUACAAUUACAAUUAUGUUUAUAUGCUACAAAAGUAACAAAUAUUAAUUUGCCACAUUUUCAUAUAUGCAGAAUAAGAAAUCUGAUCUGAGCUUAAAAGAAGCAAUUUUACUGGCCCAAGUGUUAGUAGGCAUACUUCAAGGCAAUUAUUUAAAUAAUUUGUUUAUGAUGGUACGCACCAUCAAUUUUCUUCAAUUAUUGAUACAUCAAUUACCUAAAGAAUUUCUUCAUGAUACUCACUGUCAGUUUUCUUUUUAUAUUAAUUAGGAUGGAAGUGAAUGAAAUUGCAUAAAAACUUAAUACUAUGUAG